rfam:Anabaena sp. CRKS33 143067, whole genome shotgun sequence.
AAAAUGGAGAGUUUGAUCCUGGCUCAGGAUGAACGCUGGCGGUAUGCUUAACACAUGCAAGUCGAACGGUCUUUUAGGAGACAGUGGCGGACGGGUGA